rnacentral:rRNA from 1 species
AAUGAACGCUGGCGGUGUGCCUAACACAUGCAAGUCGAACGGCAGCACAGUAAGAUCUUGCUCUUACGGGUGGCGAGUGGCGUACGGGUGAGGAAUACAUCGUCAUCUACUUUUUCGUGGGGGAUAACGUAGGGAAACUUACGCUAAUACCUCAUACAACCUACGGUUUAAAUCAAUUGAUCUUCUCACCUUUCGCGACUCUAUUAGCCGAUGUCGCAUUAGCUGGUUGGCGGGGUAAAGUCCCACCAAGGCGACGCUCCGUAGCUGGUCUGAGAGGAUGAUCAGCCACACUGGAACUGAGACACGGUCCAGACUCCUACGGGAGGCAGCAGUGGGGAAUAUUGGACAAUGGGCGAAAGCCUGAUCGAGCCAUACCGCGUGGGUGAAGAAGGCCUUCGGGUUGUAAAGCCCUUUUGUUGGGAAAGAAAAGCAGCAGGUUAAUACACCGCUGUUCUGACGGUACCCAAAGAAUAAGCACCGGCUAACUUCGUG